GAGGAAUUCUCUCACCUGGCACAACCAGGAGAAGGUUGGCUUGAUCUGAGAUUCAGGGAGUGCAAAUCCAUAUCUGCCCGUAUCACGGAGCUCAAAGGUGAAGGAGUAUUUGAUGCCUUGAUCAUAAGCCCAGUCAUCAGAGCCACCAGCAGCAGGAUCUGCAUUGGAGGAGAAAUGAAAACUUUACUCGAAAAGGACAAGUCACUGUGCCUAUAGAAAUUUCCAGACUGAUGGCCCUACUGAUAGAAGACUUCUGUUCACCCAAAGGGACAGAUGUGGCAUGCACAACAACAACAACAUAAGCUUCCCUAAGGAGUGUUGUUGCUGAUGAUUGCUCCAUAGCUGGAAGGACCAACUCAAGGAGCGAGGAUAUUCCAUCUCUGUGCUAGAAGAGACUGAUAUGAUAAUCAAGAGAGACUUGCUUUAUCACAUGAGCCAAAGUGUCAAGUCCUGUUUGAGCUAUAGCAUAUCUUUGAAAAAGGUAUCCAGUCUUGAUUUAAAGAUGUCAAGUGUGGAAACUCCACCAUGUCUGCAGGUCAGUAAAAAAAAAAACAUUCAACUUGAUUGGAUAUGGAAGGAAGCCUUAAAGAAAAUCCAGGGAAGAAAAUAUAUCACAUGGAAGGCUAAAG